AAGUCGUAACAAGGUCUCCGUUGGUGAACCAGCGGAGGGAUCAUUACCGAGUUUACAACUCCCAACCCUUUGUGAACAUACCUAUCGUUGCCUCGGCGGGACCUGCCCCGGCGCCCAGCGACGCUGGCAACCAGGCCCCGCGGAGCAACCAACUCUGUUUCUCAAGUUUCUUCUGAGUGGCUUUCGAGCAAAAAUAAAUUAAAA
rnacentral:misc_RNA from 1 species